rnacentral:rRNA from 1 species
CCUACGGGGGGCAGCAGUGGGGAAUCUUGCACAAUGGGGGAAACCCUGAUGCAGCGACGCCGCGUGAGCGAUGAAGCCCUUCGGGGUGUAAAGCUCUUUCGGCAGGGAAGAUGAUGACGGUACCUGCAGAAGCAGCUGCGGCUAACUACGUGCCAGCAGCCGCGGUAAUACGUAGGCAGCAAGCGUUGUUCGGAGUUACUGGGCGUAAAGGGUGUGUAGGCGGUUCCUUAAGUUUGUUGUGAAAUCUCCCGGCUCAACUGGGAGGGUGCGGCGAAUACUGAGGGGCUAGAGUGCGGGAGAGGAAAGUGGAAUUCCUGGUGUAGCGGUGAAAUGCGUAGAUAUCAGGAGGAACACCGGUGGUGUAGACGGCUUUCUGGACCGCAACUGACGCUGAGACACGAAAGCGUGGGUAGCAAACAGGAUUAGAUACCCUGGUAGUCCCU